AAUACGUUCCCGGGCCUUGUACACACCGCCCGUCACACCACGAAAGUUGGUAACACCCGAAGCCGGUGGCCCAACCCGUAAGGGGGGAGCCGUCGAAGGUGGGAUCAGCGAUUGGGGUG
rnacentral:rRNA from 1 species